UGUUGAUAAAAAAGAACAUCAAGAUCAUAUAUGUAAUACUUUUGGGGUCAAAAGGCAAGUUUAUAUGAUUGAUUUUUGUAUGCAUUAUCCAAAUUCAUGGUUUUUCCACUGGCAGGGAUGAAGGCAUGCCUUGUGGCAUUGAGGGUGGAUGGAUGUGAAUGUGAAUGAGCUGAGAGAUCAUGUUGACAGAAGAGAGAGAGCACAACCCGCCAUUGGCCAAAGAGAUCUUUGCCACUGUUGGGAGUGUGCUUUCUCUUCUUCUGUCAUCAUCUCUUGCAUUCCCACAUCUCUGAUGUUACCAGCACCGUCUGAUCUGCAUCUAUAUAUCUAACACAUAUGUAAACAGAAGAAAGAGGUAGCAGUUGUCACCAAUUGAAGCAAGGAUGUGUCAAUUUUGUACAAAUUAAUACUUUUCAAGAUGCAUGAGCAGAAGUUGGUGAUCUCUUAUUAACUUUCUGUCAAGUAGAAAAUUGCACCUUACAAGAACAUAUCAUUUUACCGCAGAAUAAGAGAGAGAGAAAGAGAGAGAGAGAGAGAGAGAGAGAGAGAGAGAGAGAGCCUUGGUCCUGUUUCUCCUUGCAGAUAACCAACCGCAAGGAAGCUAAGGGGUGUUCUAGGUGACUGGUGUUGUCUUUGUCUCGGCAGUGGCAAUAGUAGUGAUGCUGGAUUGUGUCUCUCCUCGGGAGAGUUGUGAUACCUGGUGGCUGAUGUUUUGUCUCUAUUUCAACGACGGCAGCAGCAACGACGCUGGUGAUAGUUGUUAUGAUAUGGUGCUUUUCUCUACUUUGCACCGAUGGAAGAACUAUGCUUGGUCAUAGGAGGUUUUCUUUGUCAAGUUCUAAGUUGAAGUGGAGUGCUUCUCGAGGGUCCUUUAAUGUUGUUUUAGUGUUCCUCCUCCGUGUUCUCUCCUGGUUUCUGUUAUUGUAUGCCUUGCAGUUUGUGUGGGUGUCAAAAGACUACGAUUUUGCUCAUAGAAGGUUUUUUUUGACAGUUGGAAUGUUCUGUGGUUCUCUCCUGUGGGUUUAGUAUUGGGAUUUCUAUGGUCCUCUCAUGUGGGUCUACUGUGUUAGUCUCUAGUUGCGGUUUUGUGUUAGUUUUCUUUUUUGAUUUGUUCUUUUAUUGUAAUGGUUCAGAGUGACUUGAAUUGAACUCUCUUGUUAGUCAAUGACAUGUGUGAUGCUCUUUCCUCUCUUGAGGUUUGUCCCAUGAAGUUGUCCUAGGAAGGUUUUAACGAGGUCAUUGUAUCAUGUCGCUCUU